AUUGAACGCUGGCGGCAGGCCUAACACAUGCAAGUCGGACGGUAGCACAGAGAGCUUGCUCUCGGGUGACGAGUGGCGGACGGGUGAGUAAUGUCUGGGAAACUGCCCGAUGGAGGGGGAUAACUACUGGAAACGGUAGCUAAUACCGCAUAACGUCUUCGGACCAAAGUGGGGGACCUUCGGGCCUCACACCAUCGGAUGUGCCCAGAUGGGAUUAGCUAGUAGGUGGGGUAAUGGCUCACCUAGGCGACGAUCCCUAGCUGGUCUGAGAGGAUGACCAGCCACACUGGAACUGAGACACGGUCCAGACUCCUACGGGAGGCAGCAGUGGGGAAUAUUGCACAAUGGGCGCAAGCCUGAUGCAGCCAUGCCGCGUGUAUGAAGAAGGCCUUCGGGUUGUAAAGUACUUUCAGCGGGGAGGAAGGCGAUGGAGUUAAUAGCUUCAUCGAUUGACGUUACCCGCAGAAGAAGCACCGGCUAACUCCGUGCCAGCCGCCGCAGUAA
rnacentral:rRNA from 1 species